GCGGGGCCGGGGCGGGGGGCGCGCCGUCCGCGAGUGGCCGUCGGGCGCGAGCUGCAGUGGAGGAGGCGGGGAGAUGGCCGCACCCAGCUCGGCGCGGGGAGGGGAUGCCGCAGUACCUUUAUGGGAGUUCUCUGCUGCCUCCUGUCUUCCAAGGCCCGCCCAGGGCCCAGAAGAAUCCCUCCCCUCUCCUGCGGUCUCGUCAUCGCCUCCAUGUCUAGUCGCUUCUGGUUUAUGGGCGGGAUUGUGUGCCACGGCUUCAGGGCGAACGUGGGCCUGGGCGUUGUCCUGCUAAGAAACUGAGCAGGUGUAGGGUUGGACGGGCGGGCCCAAUUUCUGUAGCUUCCCACGGACCGGCGUUGGUGUCGGGAGGUGCAGCCUGGGCGGUCGCCCGCGGUUAAUUUCAUGCAGUGAGACUGCAGGUUAUGACUGAAGAUGAUCUUGAUGUUUUUCCUGGAAGUGGAGGGGAGGUAGCGUUGUCCCUUGAUCACCUGAGUCUAGCGCUGACCCCGUUUCAGACGCUGGCUGCGCCACCAGCGGAUCGCAUUGUCAGAUCUUAAUUGUGAAAUUGUAGCCUUGGCUUGGCAACCCGCGCUCCCCCUCCCUCCACCUUUGAUCCCAUUCCCAUGUGCCGUGCUUGCUGCUCGUCCAGCCUGAGACUUAGUGCUGGCUUUCUUCUCCCCGACGUCGGGUAGCCUGGUGAGUCAUGGGACCGGACAGAUGGGCCCCACCCUCAGAUGCAGCCUGCCUGGUGCACUCGGGUGACUGUUUCCUUGGGUUUGGGCUUACCGUCUCCGCCCGGAGCCCGCCCCAGGCUUCCUCCGCCCGAUGACCUUGACUGCAUUCUGGUGAAUGUGUGGAGCACGGAGUUGCACAUCCUCUUCCCCACUGGGAUUCUUCGGGCCAUCCUGUAUUGCUGUUAGCCGGCGUUCUGUGUGUUCGCCUCCAGUCGUGAGGUGGGAGUCACUGCUGCUGUGUCCUGGUCGGGGUGCCGGAGGCCCCUCGGGAGGCUGGCCUCAACUUUGUACCGGCUUCGAGGUUACUUGAGUGGGACGACACUUGACUGGCUGUGUCUUUGUUGCCUAAGCACAAGGUGGUCUUCGAGGUCAAGACUUUCCAUAAUACCAAGAUAUUUGCCUUUUAUCAUUUAUUCCUAAAAAGUGUGCACUGAGGCUACAAACUGUAAUCAUGUUAAUGAAUAGUACUAUGAACUGUACAAGUUAUUUUAAAAUCCUGUAGUUUUCCUUCUCAAACAUAAGUACUUCUGCAGUGUUUUAUGUAUUUUCUCCCAAAUUUCCAAAUAUUAUUAAAGUUUUAGUAUUUGGGAACCUUA